rnacentral:tRNA from 1 species
GCCUGGGUGGCUCAGUCGGUUGAGCGUCCGACUUCGGCUCAGAUCAUGAUCUCACGGUUCGUGGGUUCGAGCCCCGCGUCGGGCU